UACGGAGGGUGCAAGCGUUAUCCGGAUUUACUGGGUUUAAAGGGUGCGUAGGUGGGCAGGUAAGUCAGUGGUGAAAUCCCCGAGCUUAACUCGGGAACUGCCAUUGAUACUAUCUGUCUUGAAUAUCCUGGAGGUAAGCGGAAUAUGUCAUGUAGCGGUGAAAUGCUUAGAUAUGACACAGAACACCGAUUGCGAAGGCAGCUCACAAAACUGUAACUGACGCUGAGGCACGAAAGCGUGGGUAUCAAACAGG
rnacentral:rRNA from 1 species